UGGGGAAUAUUGCACAAUGGGCGCAAGCCUGAUGCAGCCAUGCCGCGUGUAUGAAGAAGGCCUUCGGGUUGUAAAGUACUUUCAGCGGGGAGGAAGGCGAUAAGGUUAAUAACCUUGUCGAUUGACGUUACCCGCAGAAGAAGCACCGGCUAACUCCGUGCCAGCAGCGGCGGCAAUACGGAGGGUGCAAGCGUUAAUCGGAAUUACUGGGCGUAAAGCGCACGCAGGCGGUCUGUCAAGUCGGAUGUGAAAUCCCCGGGCUCAACCUGGGAACUGCAUUCGAAACUGGCAGGCUAGAGUCUUGUAGAGGGGGGUAGAAUUCCAGGUGUAGCGGUGAAAUGCGUAGAGAUCUGGAGGAAUACCGGUGGCGAAGGCGGCCCCCUGGACAAAGACUGACGCUCAGGUGCGAAAGCGUGGGGAGCAAACA
rnacentral:rRNA from 1 species